AAAGUCGUAACAAGGUCUCCGUAGGUGAACCUGCGGAGGGAUCAUUAACACUAUUUGGCUGUAGUGCAUGUCAGCAAUGACAUGUCUGCGGUUCAAAUUCUAUACACACUGUUGAACUCGGUUACCUUCGUGUAACCAAUCCUCCCUUUGAAUUGGAAGCGUUAAUGAUAGUUUGUAGUGGGUUGAUUGGAUCGAAAGAACUAAUCAUCGACUAUCAUUAGCUAUCAAAGCAAAGCUAUGAAAUUCGUUUCAUGCCUUGACUUUGAAGUUUCCUUUUCUUAGGCAAUUCCACUUAAUAUUUCCUCCACUAUAGAAAUGAACCCAUUUCACACCUUCGUACUCCAAUUGACUGAUCAAAGAAUGCUAGAGAGACCCGAAAGGGAAUCAAUAGCAGGACUAAGAUAAUUCUUAAACUAAGCACAACUCUUAGCAACGGAUAUCUUGGCUCUC
rnacentral:misc_RNA from 1 species